rnacentral:rRNA from 1 species
AACGAACGCUGGCGGCAGGCUUAACACAUGCAAGUCGAACGCCCCGCAAGGGGAUUGGCAGGCGGGUGAGUAACGCGUGGGAACAUACCCUUUUCUACGGAAUAGCUCUGGGAAACUGGAAUUAAUACCGUAUACGCCCUACGGGGGAAAGAUUUAUCGGGGAAGGAUUGGCCCGCGUUGGAUUAGCUAGUUGGUGGGGUAAAGGCCUACCAAGGCGACGAUCCAUAGCUGGUCUGAGAGGAUGAUCAGCCACAUUGGGACUGAGACACGGCGCAAACUCCUACGGGAGGCAGCAGUGGGGAAUAUUGGAAAAUGGGCGCAAGCCUGAUCCAGCCAUGCCGCGUGAGUGAUGAAGGUCUUAGGGUUGUAAAGCUCUUUCACCGAUGAAGAUAAUGACGGUAGUCGGAGAAGAAGCCCCGGCUAACUUCGUG